AGGAUUCUCCUAGUAACGGCGCGUGAACGAGGAGAUUAGCCCAGCACCGAAGCCUAUUCGCGUUUGUGAACAAGGCAAUGUGGUGUUACAGGUGUUUGCCUGGGGUCGUCGGUUCGUUCUAAGUCCAGCAUAGAUAAUGGCUCUGGAUAUUGCCCACAGCGGGUGAAAGGCCCGUUAGAACGAACCUCUAAGCAUGUUGACGUACCUCAGUUGCAUUCACUUUGGAGUCGGAUAGUUUGAGAAUGCUGUCCAAAGUGGGUGGUAAACUCCAUCCAAGGCUAAAUACCUGCACGAAUCCGAUAGUAGACAAGUACCGUGAGGGAAAGUUGAAAAGUACUCUGAAGAGAGAGUAAAUAGUACGUGAAACCGCAUGUAUGGAAGCUGGUGGAGUCAAGCUGCAUGCUCUUGGUAAUAAACCAGUGACUGUUGUGUGCUUAUCCAGAUGAGUGGUCGGUUGCCUUGUAUUUAGGCUGACGAAUUCUUUCGUUCCGCGAGCGUACUGGUUAGUGCGUGUGGGCCUUCUACUUUAUUCUUGGUGUCACUGGUGUACUUGCCUUGUAGCAGACAUCACGAUCGGUAUUACAGUUGGCAUGUGGUAGUUAAACCAUCAGUAUACGGGUUUCAAAUUCGUAGCUGGUGGGACGGCAGGUUGCCUGUUUAUUCGCCUUGUGUGAGUGAAUGGGUUUUUCUUGGUUGUGGCCGGCCGACUACCAUUUGAAGCAUUUAGCCAUACACUGUACCGUUAUCAAUGUUGUGCUGGUCUUUUGCUGUUGAAAUUCUUGUUGGUGCAGUCUUGUGUCUACGCAAGUGGGGCGAGGCUGUUACUGGCUUGUGAUUUUGACUGGUGAUUGGCUAG
rnacentral:rRNA from 1 species